rnacentral:lncRNA from 1 species
UCCUGUCUGUCAUGGUGGCCAACAUGAGAAUGCAGAGCACCAUUGUCAUCCACCAGGACUAUCUCCACUACAUCCACAAGUACAAUCCUACAAGAAGCACCCCAAGAACAUGUCUGCACACCUGUCCCUCUGUUUCAAGGACAUCCAGGUCAGCAACAUCAUCAUGGUGGACAAGUGCUAGCCCUUGAGGAAGAUAGUGCACUUCAACAUGCUCAAUGUCACCAAGGCCACCACCAUCAAGAAUCAAUUUCAGAAGUUCUGA